CCCCUCAAUCCUGGCUGAAAGAUGAGAUUUCUAUGAAGAGAAAAGGUUCUAGACCUGAGAGGGAGGCAAUCAGGGUUUACAAAACAAUUUAUGGCCCAGAAAAGUUACACCUGAACGUGCUUCCUCUGUGUCAGAAGACGGAUCUAACAACGCAGUCUGGGCUCUGUGCCAAGGGCUGGUAUUUCACAGCAGCGACCGCCUUACAGAUGAGCUGUGGGAAGCAGGAGGGAGACUCUCUUAGGGUGCCACUACUAUGGAGACACAGCUGGGCUGAACAAGAUUUGCUUCAAACGACAACAAGAGAGACAGAAAGUGUCUGGUUCGACCGCUGCCCAAGCAGGCAGUAACCAGAAGAGCUAGCAGCCAAUCCGGCCAUGCUGCACUGUUCGAAACCAGCUCCGCAUCUCAGCCAAUCAGUGACAUCAUUGGAGGGAGCAGGGGCAUCUUCCCCAAGUCCCAGAGACUGGAGCCUUUUGGAGUGAGAUGCAUGUCUGGGCCAGCCAUUAUACCCAUAGUAGUGCUACUAUCAAAGGCGGCUCUCAGAAUUCAAAGGCAAAUGGGGACGAGGUCUUGAGGGAUUAUACAUUCUGUAGCUGGCAAAACAAGUCCCCAUUUAAAUACUAAGCUUACUACCCUAAUGAUUGCGAAGUACUUGUUCCUUGGAACUGCACCUGUUCAGCAUGACACCCUCCUUUGCUGGGGAUGUCACAACUAUAAUUGGAGAAUGAAACCUGUCUGUGGGGGUAAGGUGGAUAGCUGCUGUUAUGACUUUUGCGAAAAGAUCCUUUUUGUUUCACAAAUUAGGGCUGAUGUAUCCUGCUCUCACAGUGGUGUAGAAAGCAGUCUAUUACAGUGCUGGAUUAAUCAAAGGGGCCUUUAUGGUUUGUGAAAGAAUAUCUAUGUGCUUAGACAGGAAACUUUUUGAUCCACAGAAAAGCCAGACGACAUCUAGGACCAGACAAGACAAUUUUAGACUCACACUUAUUGUGAUAUCCUCAGUG